rnacentral:rRNA from 1 species
AUGGCGUCCCGCAAUGCUGCUACUCCUGCGUUCAGCUACGAGCCCUCACCAUGGAUCGACUUCUUUGCUGGAUAUGAGCCACCGCUGCUACAGUAUCUACUACCCGGCCUAUGCUGGGCCGGCCCAAGAGGUGCCAAAAUGUACACCAUGCACCCACUACUUGCAGGCCCGAGUAGGAACACAUUUCUAAUUAGCAUCCGUGCUCCUCUAGAGAUCCAUGUCAACCGGUUGCUUAUCAAAUCCAAGCAGUGGAUGACGCUUAGGGCAAAAGAACUGAAGGAAGACAUAUUUGCCCUUCGGUUUCGCUUGCUGAGGGAACAUGGACACUGGGUAUCUCCAGAUGUUUUCAAUCAAUUCAAAAGUGAAGAUGGAAGCUUCAUCAAGGAUAUAACAAAUGAACCCAGGACACUAUUAUGUCUAUACAAUGCGUCUCAUCUUCUAAUUCAUGGUGAGCCAGCACUCGAAGAAGCCAUAGCUUUGGGAAGGCAUCAUCUUGAAUCAUGUAGUGGUACUUUAAAGACCCCACUAGCUCAACAAGUCCAACGUGCCCUUCACAUAGCAAUGCCAAGGACAAAUAAGAGGGUGGAAAUGCUACAUUAUAUCCAAGAGUACGAACAAGAGGAGCAUAACCCGAUGCUACUGGAACUUGCCAAAUUGGAUUUCAACCUUCAGCAAAAUGUCCACUCGAAGGAGCUCAAAGUUAUUACCAGAUGGGAUAAGAGCGCCGCUUUUCUCCUGCCGGAGUACUUGAAGAAGUUCUAUAUGGAGAUGCUGAGGACAUUUGACAAUAUUGAGGCUGAAAUGCCAACCAAUACGAACUACGAUAUAGCACACCUGAAAAAAGCGGUCCAAAAGAACGUGACUGGUUACCUGCAAGAAGCGAAAUGGUCACACAGGAACCACAAGCCAAGCUUUGUAGAUCAGGUCAAGUUGACUAGCCUGAACAUUGGUGUGCCAACGAUAUGUGUGAGUAUGAUGGCUGGAAUGAGUGAUGCAAUGAUGAAGCCAGCACUCAAAUGGGCUGCUAGUGUUCCGGAUGUCGUCAUAUCAGUCGGGAAGAUUUCCCGUUUCAUGAAUGAUAUCGGUGCAUUUGAGCGUAGAAAAUGCAAGGGGGAUCUGGCAAGCACUGUAGAGUGUUACAUCAAUGAGUACAACGUGACAAGUGAAGUGGCCAUUACCAAAAUUGUUGCCCUGAUAGAACAAGAAUGGAAGACUCUGAACCAAGCUCGCUUUGAAAAUCAUCUUCUCCCUGCAUUGCAGCAGUUCAUUAGCUUAGCGAUUAGCACAACAUUUUUCUAUGGUAACAGAAAUGAUGUAUACACGCACAGCGCACAUAUGCAGUGGACUAUUGAGAGGCUCUUCCUGAAGAAUAUUGCAAGAAAGUUGUAG